CCUUUGGGUUGUAAAGCUCUUUCGUCGGGGAAGAAAAUGACGGUACCCGAAUAAGAAGGUCCGGCUAACUUCGUGCCAGCAGCCGCGGUAAUACGAAGGGACCUAGCGUAGUUCGGAAUUACUGGGCUUAAAGAGUUCGUAGGUGGUUAAAAAAGUUGGUUGUGAAAUCCCGAAGCUUAACUUCGGAACUGCAAUCAAAACUUUUUAGCUAGAGUAUGAUAGAGGAAAGCAGAAUUUCUAGUGUAGAGGUGAAAUUCGUAGAUAUUAGAAAGAAUACCAAUUGCGAAGGCAGCUUUCUGGAUCAUUACUGACGCUGAGGAACGAAAGCAUGGGUAGCGAAGAGGAUUAGAUACCCUCGUAGUCCAUGCCGUAAACGAUGUGUGUUAGACGUUGGAAAUUUAUUUUCAGUGUCGCAGCGAAAGCAGUAAACACACCGCCUGGGGAGUACGACCGCAAGGUUAAAACUCAAAUGAAUUGACGGGGACCCGCACAAGUAGUGGAGCAUGUGGUUUAAUUCGAAGAUACGCGCAGAACCUUACCAACACUUGACAUGUUCGUCGCGGCUCUAAGAGAUUAGAGCUUUCGGUUCGGCCGGACGAAACACAGGUGCUGCAUGGCUGUCGUCAGCUCGUGUCGUGAGAUGUUGGGUUAAGUCCCGCAACGAGCGCAACCCUCACUUUUAGUUGCCACCAUUUAGUUGGGCACUCUGAAAGAACUGCCAGUGAUAAGCUGGAGGAAGGUGGGGAUGACGUCAAGUCCUCAUGGCCCUUACGUGUUGGGCUACACACGUGCUACAAUGGCAUUUACAAUAGGAAGCAAGAUGGCGACGUCAAGCAAAUCCUAAAAAGAUGCCUCAGUUCGGAUUGUACUCUGCAACUCGAGUACAUGAAGCUGGAAUUACUAGUAAUCGCGGAUCAGCGCGCCGCGGUGAAUACGUUCCCGGGUCUUGUACACACCGCCCGUCACACCAUGGGAGUUGGUUCUACCUUAAGGCAAGGUUUAAAACCCUUGACCACGGUAUAGUCAGCGACUGGGGUGAAGUCGUAACAAGGUAG
rnacentral:rRNA from 1 species